GCAGAGUAGGCACCGUCGCGCAAAGCCGCGGCUGGGCUGGAACGGCGCGGAUGGCUUUUAGCCGAUACAUGGGGGCGAGGGGCUGUUCUCGCGGGGCCGUUCCCGCAGGUCCCCGUCGCAGCCCGACGGGCUGGCCGGUUGCUACCUCCGGGGGACGCGGGCACAGUGAGGAGCCUACGAGCAGGUCUUGCAUUGGAAAAGGAAAAUAAUACACAAAUUUCAGCAACAUCAGAGAUUUCAUUAAGCCUGAAUGGAGCUCAAAUUCAUUUUGCAGUUCAACGAUACAUUCACAGAAUCAGGUACUGUAAUCGUAUAGACAACGUCUGUAAUAUCACCACAGUGCAAAAUCAUCCCCGUUUCUUGUCAUUCACCACUGAGAAAAAUCCAACUGCAGACUUGACUGCCUUCGGUGAAGGCACACGGCAAGUUCUGACAACACUCUUCAGGACUGACUCUUCCUGUUUUAUGCAGCAACCGUCUCAGCCUGGGACCAAAGUAUUUACAAAGCAAGCGAAUAACAGACGCAGGGACAGGAGCACUUCUGAGCCCAGUGGUGCAGAAACCCACUGCCCAACAGGGUCGGGGGGCCAGUCACCUCUCCAGGAGUGUCCCAUGUGGCAGCUGACACAACAUCUUAAAUACAUAAUUCCAAUUGAAAGAAAAACCAACAACAACAAAAAAACAGGAGUCAUGUAUAAGCGACGUUACUUCCUCUUUGAACAGGGAAACAUCUCGCUCACAGGGAGAUAAAGGGUGAAUGAACGUCUCAUUUGCUGCUCUCUCCCCCCAAGUGCCAGCAAAAAGCUGGGUGUGGUGAUGAAGGAAAAAGGCAGCCAUCACCUAGGACCCCAUAAGCCAAGCUGUGGUCCCCUCCAUGAGGGCACAGUCCUUUCAUGAAGCCAUGAAAGACUGAGACCACAGCUCGGACCUGAUCACUCAGGGUUGCCUACUGGGGUCUCUUCUGCUGAAACCCAAACUGAUUCUUUUUUUUUUUUUUUUUUUGAGACAGAAUUAGCCGGGCGGGGUGGUACUUGGCUGUCGCCAAGGCUGGAGAGCAGUGCCGUAAUCUUGGUACACUGAAACCUCCACCUCCUGGGCUCAAGUGAUUCUCCCGCCUCAGCCUCCCAAGUAGGUGGGAUUACAGGCAUGUGCCACCAUACCUGGCUAAUUUUUGCAUCUUUUUAGUAGAGAUAGGACUUCACCACAUUGGCCAGGUUGGUCUCAAACUCUAGUGAUGGCCCAUCUCAGCCUCCCACAGUGCUGAGAUGAUAGACGUGAGCCACCGCACCUGGCCCCAGACUGACUCUUGACCAAAGAAUCUGAUUUGGCAAACCAAAUCUUAGUGUGGUGUUCGCUCCUUCUCCCCUGACCAGAACAUGAUUCAGAUCCUAACAUAAAAACAGGUCAAAAUGCUGUGGUCUUGCCUAUUACGCAAAAUAUUGAGAUCAUGUUCAUGAUUUACUGUUUUCAGCAAUCGUGUCCAUUUUGAAGCUUCUCUCAAAGCUUUUAAACACUUCAUUAUUUCCUACUAAGUACCAACAUGUGUCACCCAGGCAUCACCAGUGGGAACUUUUGUUUUGAAACCUUUAGAACCAAAACGGUUUUCAAUCCAUAAGCCAGUCCUAACGCAUCCCGUAAUGGGGACCAAGGCAAAAAAA